rnacentral:piRNA from 1 species
UGUCUAGUGUUCCUGCUCACCUACCGC